GAAGGCCUUCGGGUUGUAAACUGCUUUUGUACGGAACGAAAAGGUCUCUAUUAAUACUAGGGGCUCAUGACGGUACCGUAAGAAUAAGCACCGGCUAACUACGUGCCAGCAGCCGCGGUAAUACGUANGGUGCAAGCGUUAAUCGGAAUUACUGGGCGUAAAGCGUGCGCAGGCGGUUAUAUAAGACAGAUGUGAAAUCCCCGGGCUCAACCUGGGAACUGCAUUUGUGACUGUAUAGCUGGAGUGCGGCAGAGGGGGAUGGAAUUCCGCGUGUAGCAGUGAAAUGCGUAUAUAUGCGGAGGAACACCGAUGGCGAAGGCAAUCCCCUGGGCCUGCACUGACGCUCAUGCACGAAAGCGUGGGGAGCAAACAGGAUUAGAUACCCUGGUAGUCCACGCCCUAAACGAUGUCAACUGGUUGUUGGGUCUUCACUGACUCAGUAACGAAGCUAACGCGUGAA
rnacentral:rRNA from 1 species